rnacentral:sRNA from 1 species
CAGAGCACUCUUCUGUCUGUAGAUGUCUCAGCUGCUCUACAAGGGGGUCCCAUUUCAGGUGUGGGGCUAGGCAUGGUCACUCCUGCUGGAUGUCUAGAAGGUGGAAAUUAAGGACCAAGAAAAUACCAGAUACAGCCUUUCCACCCUCAUCCAGAGCAGGACAAACAGGCCAGGUGGUGUCAGGAGCCCAGGUCUCCAGCUGGAGGGAACGUCAACCCUGCAGUGGGAGCAGGGGCCCAUCGCACAUCCUAGGCACAGAUGCUAAUGUAGGCACCGCAGGUAAGCUGGGCUUUGUACCCUUCCCUGGCUUCAGAAAGAAGCCAACAAGGAGCGUUUUGCAGAAUGAAACCUUUCUUUCCAGAAGCACUGCUGACUGUAAGUGGCUGCCAUUUGUGGCAGUGAGCAUUUUGUCCAUUCUGAGGUUGGAUUGGUUUCUCCUUUUGGCCUUGCCCUGCCCUACAGACCAUAAAGGAGAACAGCAAGAGGCCCCCAGCAAACACCCACAGAUGGCCCUGGACAUCAGCCACAUUCUGAGAAACGUCAUGUUGUGGGAGGGCUAAGGCAUCAAGUAAGGCCUAUGGGGCUGGAGGAUCCCAGGCAAGGUGGGGCAAUCCAGAGCCAUGGGGGCUUCCCAUGGGAAUUGGGAGGUCCCGAGGCAGAGUUAGAGGUUCCACGGGAGAAGUCACAGAGUCACCAAGGGCUCACCUGGCCCAGGGAGCAGUCAACACCAUGGACUGAACACCUGCUGGGCUCCAAGCCCUGGGCCAGGCUGCCCGUGUGGGGCCAGGAGGCAACUCAGAGUGGGAGGCAGAGAGAGAAGUAUGCUCAGAGGGCACCUGUAUCUGGAUGUAAUGUGGUCCUGAGACUCUGGCUGGGAAGUGCUUCCAGGUUAUCCUAUGUGUUAUGCAGCUACUUCCUCUCCCCAGCCUUACCCUGUAGGAAUUCUAGUGACUAUGUUGCCACCAUCUUGGAGCUCCAUGCCCUCAUAGUAUAGUGGCACCAGCAGAUCUGCCUGUGCAUGGACUUCCUGUACUACCUCACUCCUGAGGGGAGAUGCUUCUGCAGGGCCUAUGAACUGGUGCACAACUUUAGCCACCAUCGUCCUGGAGCAGCGCUACACCCUCACUAGCCAGGGUGUCGACAGCCUCAAGGCCAAGGCCACAUUCAAGACUUUGGACUUCACUGAUGCACUUGUGCCGAGCAAGGUGGGCAUCUCUGGGAUCUUAAUUCAGGAGGUAGAAUGCAGCUUCAGAUCAAGUGUCUGAUCAAAGAACUUGAACUUGAUCUGGAGGGCUCUGGGGAACCAUGGAAGGUUCUGGAUAAAGGGACAGUCAGCUGUGUUUUAGAGAUGACUGUGGAAGGCUUCCUGGAAGGAGUGAACAAGAGCCAGGAGACCAGGGAGGGAGCUUGUGGGGCAGGUCUGGAGAUGGCAAAGGAGGGAUCCUGCUUGGAUGAAAAGUCUUCAGGGACCAUCUCAGGUUACACUCAGGUGCCCUCUGAGUUAGUGUGUUCCAAGGCAGGGGCCUCAUCUGUCCCGUUCCUCCUGUGGCCUGGGUCCUAGCACCAUGUCUGGUACAGUGUAGGUGCUCAAGGGAAGUUUACUGUUGAAGAACUGUCUACCUGGGAGAGGUUACUGUUAAUCUAAGCUGCACUAUUUGGUAAACCCCUUGCUGUUUUGCAGAUCCUGGUCAGAGUAAAACAUUCCAUGGGAACUCGGGCUGUGAGAAGCAUCCUAACCACCUGACUGCAGAAACAUCCUUAUCACAUCCUGCUGGGCAAAGGCCCAACAGCCUGACUUCAGGAACAUCCUUAUCAUCUUCUACUGGGCAGCAAGCUAUACUGUCCAGAGCGCUCCCUCCCAGCCCCAUGAUUACCCCAGCCUGUGAGCGGCAGUGGGUGCUGACACUAAGCUGGUUUCCCCCUCCGCAGGGUUUUGCUAGUAAUAAACCUGUGUUGCUGUUGAAGCGGCCAA